rnacentral:rRNA from 1 species
UACGAAGGGGGCUAGCGUUGUUCGGAAUCACUGGGCGUAAAGUGCACGUAGGCGGAUCUUUAAGUCAGGGGUGAAAUCCUGGAGCUCAACUCCAGAACUGCCUUUGAUACUGAAGAUCUUGAGUUCGGGAGAGGUGAGUGGAACUGCGAGUGUAGAGGUGAAAUUCGUAGAUAUUCGCAAGAACACCAGUGGCGAAGGCGGCUCACUGGCCCGAUACUGACGCUGAGGCACGAAAGCGUGGGGAGCAAACAGG